AGUGAUAAGAAAGGAGGCAGGUGCUUUGAUGGUCCAACUAAAUGGGGAAGUGAGAAGUUGAGAGGGGAUUCCUUCACCUGCUCUCAUUUGAAAACUGUUUACUAUGUCUUAUUGAAAGCCUCUGACUACACAGAGCUCAGGGAAGGUCUGAAAUCCUGGGAAGAGUGUAGCGAUCUUGGGUGGCCAGCAACCUCGACUGGGGAGGGGAGGGAUGGCUGUGCCACUCCGUGGAAUAAUUUUCUUGAGGAUGUCUCUGUUCCUAAAGAUUCGCUUGCAGAUCAGCGAUACAACUCAAGCAGUGAAGAAGAAGACAAUCCAGAUCCUAUCAUUGAAAACUGCAAAAAUGGCAACCUGAAGGCAUCAGCCUGAGCCUCAAAGGAUCUGGAGAUCAUAUCGUGGUUGGAGGACUAAAUCAGACACAAUCUGAAAGAAACAGAGCCAUCUCAUGCCCAACCGCUAAUAUCCCAUUCCUCAAUCAACCAAUUUAAUAUGUUUAGUUUUUGAAUAAAUUUAAUAUGUCUUA